rnacentral:rRNA from 1 species
GUAAAACGUUCGUCGCCCAGGAUGGUCUGCGGCGAUCAGGUAGUAGUGGGUGUAAUGCCAUACUAGCCGAUAACGGUACGGUUGUGAGAGCAAGAGCCGGAGAUGGACUCUGAGACAUGUUCCAGCCCUACGGGCGCAGCAGGCGCGAAAACUUUACAAUGCGGGCAACCGUGAUAAGGGAACACCGAGUGUCAGCAUCAUCUGCGGGCUUCCAGGAGUGUAAAUACACUUGUAGUAAGGGCCGGCAAGACCGGUGCCAGCCGCCGCGGAACACCGGCGGCCCGAGUGGUGAUCGUGAUUAUUGGGUCUAAAGGGUCCGUGGCCGUUUUGGUCAGUCCUCCGGGAAUUCCACUAGCUCAACUUUUGAGCUAUCGGGGGAUACUUCCAGACUCGGAACCGGGAGAGGUAAGAGGUACUACCGGGGUAGGAGUGAAAUCUUGUAAUCCCUGUGGGACCACCUGUGGCGAAGGCGUCUUACCAGAACGGACUCGACGGUGAGGGACGAAAGCCGGGGGCACGAACCGGAUUAGAUACCCGGGUAGUCCCAGCCGUAAACGAUGCUGACUAGGUGUCGGGCAGGGCGCGACCGGUCCGGUGCCGCAGGGAAGCCGUGAAGUGAGCCACCUGGGAAGUACGGCCGCAAGGCUGAA